rnacentral:snRNA from 1 species
AGAUUUCUGUGAUCUAGCUACUAUAUCUGUCAACAACCUGUUAUGGUCAGAGUUUUCUUGGCUGCUCUGGGUGGCUAGGCUGGUGUCUCUUUCCAGACUCAGUAUCCCAUGUGUGUUCCUCCUCAGCCUGCACACUUUGUCAAAGAGGACAAUCUUCCUCAAGAGAGGAAGACUAUUCCUUAGUCAAGGGUAUAUGAGUAGCUGAUUUUCCCCAUUAGAACCCCCAAAUAAGCUCCCAGGGUUUACUUUUGAAAAGAAUCAGCUUAUUUACCUUAGUGUUAAAAAUUCUAGAUCCUCAGCAUAUAUGUUGUGGUUGUUU